AACGAACGCUGGCGGCGUGCUUCAUACAUGCAAGUCGAGCGAGAAAGCAUCCUUCGGGGUGUGAGUAAAGCGGCGAACGGGUGCGUAACACGUGGGUAACCUGCCUCAUAGAGGGGAAUAGCCUUUCGAAAGGAAGAUUAAUACCGCAUAAGAUUGUAGUAUCGCAUGAUACAGCAAUUAAAGGAGUAAUCCGCUAUGAGAUGGACCCGCGUCGCAUUAGCUAGUUGGUGAGGUAACGGCUCACCAAGGCGACGAUGCGUAGCCGACCUGAGAGGGUGAUCGGCCACAUUGGGACUGAGACACGGCCCAGACUCCUACGGGAGCUG
rnacentral:rRNA from 1 species